rnacentral:misc_RNA from 1 species
AACUUUCAGCAACGUGUCACGUGGCUCUCGCGUCGAUGAAGAACGCAGCGAAAUGCGAUAAGUAAAUUGAAUUGCAGAAUUCAGUGAAUCAUCGAAUCUUUGAACGCACCUUGCGCUCCUUGGUAUUCCGAGGAGCAUGCCUGUUUGAGUGUCAUUAAUAUAUAUAUCAACCUUCUCUUUUUUGAGUGGUUUGGAUGUGGGGGUUUGCUGGCCUUGUAAAGGGUUCAGCUCCCCUGAAAUGCAUUAGCAGAACAACCCUGUUCAUUGGUGUGAUAACUAUCUACGCUAUUGAAUGUAAGGGGGCAGUUCAGCUUUCUAACAGUCCUCGGACAAUUCAUCAUUAAUGUGACCUCAAAUCAGGUAGGACUACCCGCUGAACUUAAGCAUAUCAAUAAGCGGAGGCU